UUGAGCAAACCCAGGGAAGUGAACCAUCUCAGUACCUGGAGGAAGAGAAAACAAUAGUGAUUCCGCUAGUAGCGGCGAGCGAACGCGGAAUAGCCCAAACCAGACGACCUUUCGGGGGAGUUUGGGGUUGUAGGACUGUAUACGAGACUUUGAAGGUGAGUCGAACGGUUUGGAAAGACCGACCAUAGCGGGUGAUAGUCCCGUAGACGAAGC
rnacentral:rRNA from 1 species